rnacentral:rRNA from 1 species
UAAGCAUAUCAAUAAGCGGAGGAAAAGAAACUAACGAGGAUUCCCCUAGUAACUGCGAGUGAAGCGGGAAGAGCUCAAAUUUUGAAUCUGGCGGUCUUUCGGCCGUCCGAGUUGUAAUCUAGAGAAGCGUUUUCCGCGCUGGACCGUGUACAAGUCUCCUGGAAGGGAGCGUCAUAGAGGGUGAGAAUCCCGUCUUUGACACGGACUACCAGUGCUAUGUGAUACGCUCUCGACGAGUCGAGUUGUUUGGGAAUGCAGCUCAAAUUGGGUGGUAAAUUCCAUCUAAAGCUAAAUAUAGGCGAGAGACCGAUAGCGAACAAGUACCGUGAGGGAAAGAUGAAAAGAACUUUGGAAAGAGAGUUAAACCGUACGUGAAAUUGCUGAAAGGGAAACGCUUGAUGUCAGUCGCGUCCGCCGGGGAUCAACCUAGCCUAAUCGCUCGGUGUACUUUCUGGUGGACGGGUCAGCAUCAGUUUCGAUCGCCGUACAAGGGCGAAGGGAAUGUGGCACUCUUCGGAGUGUGUUAUAGCCUUUCGUCGCAUGCGGUGACUGGGACUGAGGAACUCAGCACGGCCCCUCGAGGGUUCGGGGCUUCGGCCUACGUAUCGUGCUUAGGAUGCUGGCAUAAUGGCCUUAAGCGACCCGUCUUGAAACACGGACCAAGGAGUCUAACAUGC